CGCUCUUUAGUUCAUCUCGGUAGAACAAGGAAAAAAAAAGCCUAUGUAGUGGAUUCGAGUCCCACAAGAGCGA
rnacentral:tRNA from 1 species